ensembl:lncRNA
AUGGAAAAAUAUGCUAAUAAUGAAACGUUCAAAGAACAAGUUAAAAACAGCAGUAUUGAAAAAUAUGCUAAUAAUCCUGCCCAUCAUAACCAGGUGAAACAAAGAACUGUAAUCAAAUACAGAGAUGAUCCAUCAUGUAAACCCUCUUUAAUUGAAAGAAACUGUCAAAAGAGACUUAAUCUUACCCUCUUAAAACACAAUAUUGACUUUGUAAUUGAGCUCUUCCAAGAAGAGGUCAAACAUGGACCAGAACAUGUUUGUUGUGUAUGUCACAGAUUAUUGUUCCGUAAGCAAGUUAGAUUAUGUGACAUAACUUCAUAUGAAUCCAAGGCUUCAACUGUGUCAGCAAUUGCAAAACAAUGCAUAACUACAACAUAUCUCCAUCAAUGUGAUAACGCAUGUUUAACGCCAUGCACACUAAAACAGACAGUUGCUGGGAAAUUGUGGAUAUGUUUCAGUUGCAACUCCAAGAUACUCAGUGGUAAGGUUCCCCAGGAGAGCGCUGUGAACAAUAUGGCAUUAGAUCCAAUUCCGGACGAAUUAGGCACACUGAACUCAUUAGAACAACACCUGUGCGCAUUGAAUAUUCCCUUUAUGCGACUUGUGGCAUUGCCGCGAGGUUCUCAGAAUUCUGUCCAUGGGCCGGUGACUUGCGUUCCAUCAAACAGCGAUGUAGUCACUUCGGUUCUCCCAAGGCUAGAAAAUCAAGAUUUAAUGAUCCGAAUAAAACUGAAAAGAAAACUUACUUAUAAGGGGCAUUAUCAGUAUCAAUAUGUGCACACUCAAAAAAUCCAAAAUGCGAUAGCAUGUUUAAAGGACAUGAAUAAAUGGUAUAAGGACAUAGACUUUAACGCAGAAUGGGAAAAUCCCUUGCCAGAAGAUGCAUGUUCUGUUUUGAAAGAAUGCAACCCAGUUAAUGACACUCCAUCUGCACCUGAAAGCAGUGACAUUACAACUCAAUCAGACCAGGUGUCGGAUGAUGAAGAAGCUGACCACAUAUAUGAAACUCAAACACACGGGUUACUCUUGGACACAUGUUUGCAACCAAUAGAUAUCGCACAAGAAAUAUUUGAUCAGCAUUUCGAAAGUGUUUUAUCAAUAGCUCCAGCUGAAGGCAACAGUCCUGUUAGGCUGCUGACAGAUAAGGGCAAUGAAGCAAAAUGUUUCCCAACUCUUUUCCCCAAAGGGACAGGUACAUUCCAUGAUGCACGGCCCCACAGGCUCACUCUCAGUAGAUACAUCAACACACGAAUCCUAAAUGCUGAUGGGAGGUUUAGCAGCAACUUGGACUACAUUUUCUAUGCUCAAUAUUUAUCUGAGGUCAAUCAGGUUGUUUCCAAGGUGUCCAUAGCACUGAGAAAAGGUUACCAUGCAGGGGAAUCAUUGGCUAUAACUUCCGCCAUGCUUUCAAACAAAGACUAUGUACAAAAUGUCUUAAAAACCGAUCUCGGUUACAAGUUCCUUCAACCGAUCCGAGGGACUCCAGUUUUUUGGCAAGGUGUACAGAAAAAUCUAUUUGCUAUGGUUCGUCAGCUUGGUGUCCCUACUUGGUUCUGUUCAUUUUCAUGUGCUGAUUUACGCUGGACUGAACUCAUCGAUGUUUUCAUGAGACUACAGAAAAUACAGGGAAAUGUCAACGACCUGGACUGGUCACAGAGGUGCAAUUUACUCAAAACUAAUCCGGUUACCGCGGCAAGAAUGUUCCAACACAGGUUUCAGACUUUUCUAAAUGACGUCAUCAAGUCACCAGCUAACCCCAUUGGUAAAGUUAUAGACACAUUUUUUAGAGUUGAAUUCCAACAAAGCGGCUCACCCCAUACUCAUUGUCUGUUCUGGGUAGAAAAUGCACCGAAAAUAGGCAGAAACACAGACCAAGAAGUCACACAAUUUAUUGAUAAAUACAUCAGUUGUGAACUCCCGCCAGCAACCGACGCAUUGCAUGAAGUUGUUUCCAGCGUUCAAAAACACAGCUCCAAGCACUCAAAGAGUUGUAGGAAAAAAGGCACAACAUGCAGAUUUAACUUUCCACGUCCUCCAAGCAACCACACCUUUCUUUGUAGAAGUAAAACAGACGAGAACCAGGAGGUAACAGACGCUGAUCCGAUAGACGUCUCUAUAUUAGAAAUGCGAAAAGAAAAAGAGGUGGCUAAAAGUGUCAUGACAAGGGUCAAACAUGCUCUUUCAAGUCCAGACCUAACCUUCGACACUGUGGAUCAGCUAUUUGCUUCCGUUAACAUCACCCAGGAAAUGUUUGAAAAUGCCUACCGAUUGACAACCAAUAAAAACGCGGUUGUACACAAACGCAACCCAUCAGAUGUUUACGUUAAUCAAUACAACAAAGACCUUUUGCGUUGCUGGGAUGCCAACAUGGACAUACAAUAUGUCUGCGAUGCUUUUGCUUGUGUAGUAUACAUAAUAUCCUACAUCUCAAAAGCAGAACAAGACAUGGGCUUAUUGUUACAACAUACUCAAAAUGAAAUGAAAAAACAUGGAAAUUUAGAUGCAAAACAAACACUCAAUAAGUUGGGAAGUGUCUUUCUCCACAAUCGCGAGGUCUCAGCUCAAGAAAGUGUUUAUCGAGUUACAAACAUGCAUCUCAACGAAUGCUCAAGACUGGUCACAUUUAUCCCUACUGGUGAAAAUACUGUCAGAAUGAGUUAUCCUCUCAGUGUCAUUCAAAGCAAAGCAGAACAGGGUGACACGUCAACAGAAUCGAUAUGGAUGACGAGCAUAACGGACCGCUACAAAAACCGCCCCCAGGGCGCAAUUUUCAAUGAUAUUUGUAUAGCCACAUUUGUUUCAAAAUACAGAGUUUUGUACGGGAAAGAGCAGCACAGCAAUGGCUCUGUUAAACUGGAAAAUAACACUGGCUUUGUUAAGAUGAGAACUAGGGGAUCUGAUGCUGUUGCUAGAUACGCUCGUUUCUCACAAACCAAAUAUCCAGAAAAACACUACCAAAGUUUGCUACAAUUGUUUUUGCCUCAUUAUUCAACAGAUGAGUUAAAACCUCCACCGUACAACAGUUAUGAGCAGUUUUACAGGACCGGUUCCAUCACUAACAGCAGCAAUACAACGCAAAGUGUUAAGGAAGUUGUAGAUUUGAACAGAUCCCUGUUUGAAGUAGAUGCAGAUGAGCUCGACAGAUGCCAAGAGGUUGCAGGGCACCACGGGGCUCACGACGAGGCAUGGGCAGACCUUUGCCCUGAAUCUGAGUUGGAGCGAUUAGAAUGUCAGGAGGAGAUGUCUAACAACAACGACACAAAUCAAAAUGAAAGAGAAGCCAUACCGGACUUGCAGUCGGACACAAAGGCAACACUGUCUAAAGAAUUUCCCACACACUCGAUACAAAGAGCUGAAGGUCUGUCCAUUAUGCGCACGUUAAACGAACAGACUCAAAUUUUUUACAAAAUCCGCGCAUGGUGCCUUGACAAAGUCAAUGGCAAAAAAACCUGA